GACGAACGCUGGCGGCGUGCUUAACACAUGCAAGUCGAACGGUGAAGCGCCUUCCUUUUUGGUGGGUGUGGAUGAGUGGCGAACGGGUGAGUAACACGUGAGUAACCCGCCCCCUUCUUCUGGAUAACCGCAUGAAAGUGUGGCUAAUACGGGAUAUUCUGGGUCUGUCGCAUGAUGGGUCUGGGAAAGAUAUUGUUUCGGUGGGGGAUGGGCUCGCGGCCUAUCAGCUUGUUGGUGGGGUGAUGGCCUACCAAGGCGGUGACGGGUAGCCGGCCUGAGAGGGUGGACGGUCACACUGGGACUGAGACACGGCCCAGACUCCUACGGGAGGCAGCAGUGGGGAAUAGUGCACAAUGGGCGCAAGCCUGAUGCAGCGACGCCGCGUGAGGGAUGGAGGCCUUCGGGUUGUGAACCUCUUUCGCCAGUGAAGCAGGCCUGCCUCGUUUGUGGGUGGGUUGACGGUAGCUGGAUAAGAAGCGCCGGCUAACUACGUG
rnacentral:rRNA from 1 species